rnacentral:rRNA from 1 species
GAUGAACGCUAACGGGAGGCCUAAUACAUGCAAGUCGAGCGGUAGAGUGACUUCGGUUGCUUGAGAGCGGCGAACGGGUGAGUAACGCGUACACAAUCUACCUUUAAGAGGGGAAUAGCCCUGGGAAACUGGGAUUAAUGCCCCAUGGCAUCACGAGACGGCAUCGUUUUGUGAUUAAAGCUGAGGUGCUUAGAGAUGAGUGUGCGUCUGAUUAGCUAGUUGGUGCGGUAACGGCGCACCAAGGCGACGAUCAGUAGGGGCGUGAGAGCGUGGACCCCACACGGGUACGUGAGACACGGACCCGACUCCUACGGGAGGCAGCAGUAAGGAAUAUUGGUC